rnacentral:rRNA from 1 species
GUCUACGGCCAUGCCAUCCUUAACAAGCUCAAUGUCUGAUCUUGGAAGCUAAGCAGGAUCCGGCCUGGUUAGUACUUGGAUGGGAGACCACCUAGGAAGACCAGGUGCUGUAAGUA